UACGUAGAAGACUAGUGUUAUUCAUCUUUAGUAGGUUUAAAGGGUCCGUAGGCGGUUUUGUAAGUCAGUGGUGAAAGCCCAUCGCUCAACGGUGGAACGGCCAUUGAUACUGCAAGACUUGAAUUAUUGGGAAGCAACUAGAAUAUGUAGUGUAGCGGUGAAAUGCUUAGAGAUUACAUGGAAUACCAAUUGCGAAGGCAGGUUGCUACCAAUACAUUGACGCUGAUGGACGAAAGCGUGGGGAGCGAACAGG
rnacentral:rRNA from 1 species